GGGGGGAGGCGCAGGCGCGAGGGGCUGGGCAGCCAAUCAGAGAGCAGCGUGCGGAGGCUGGCCCCGGCGGCCGAAGUUCGCGCGCGCAGCCUGAGGAGCGACUGCUCCUGCCGCGGAGAGAGCUGAUAUCACAUUGAGUCCCAAGCAUUUAUAGUAUCCGACAAAGCAAAGUAAUAUGACAAUAAAGUAGAAUUGCCACCUCUGGAAAAUCUUAAGUCCUCAUACGGCACAUCAUAAGCUGUGGUUCCAUUAUUAAGCAUUUGAAGAAAAGAGAGUCUACUUAUACUGGGCUGCAUCACAUCAGAGGAUCAGGAUUUAUGGUCUUAAUCCUACAGUGUUUUGCACUGGCACAGUUUUGCAAUCUCAUUGAAGUAAAUGGGACACCAUACAGACACAAGGAUCUGAGCAAGCUAAUCUUUUGGUGCUCAUUUGGUUUAUGAAAAUACAAAAGAUGGAUGGCUUGAUUAACCUGUUAAUGGCUGUAUUGGUCAAUAUCAUUUUUUCUUUAAGCUAGUGAACCAUAUUUUUUUCAACAUUUAAAAAAAUAUGCUAUCAGUAGUAUUAGAGCGGUCUUGAAUUUCCUGCAGCCCAGUUCUGGGGAAAAAAGAUAGUUCUCAUUCAAAUGGACACAGUUCUGAUUUAUUUUACCUGAAGGUGCUAAGAGUAAGUAAAACAGUGUGACUGUUAAGACUGUAUUGGGACAAAAAUAAUGUAACUGGGUUGUUUUGUGGUUCACACUAGUGCUAUAGGCUUGGAUCCAGAAUUAUUCAAGUAGGCUGUGGACACUGUAUCCAAUUCCAUAAAGGCAGAGUAAAGCGUAGUGAGUUGUAAGUCAGGUAAGCUGCUAUGUGGAGUGGUAUUCUGGGUGGUGAGGUUAUUGCUGCUGUUACUAUCCAUCUGAUAGUGAGAAGGGAAGCACUGAGAGGAUAUUGGGGAUGUUGAAAUGAGAACCAAGGGAUCCACAGCUAGGCUGUCAUCUUUCAGUUCUUCCCAAAGAUUUCCUAUAACAAAAAACAAAACCAACACACUGAUGUAGUCUUCAGCUUUCAUGUGUGUGUGUGUGUGUGUGUGUUUGCUUUUGUUUCUUUUUCUUUUAAGAGUGAGUGCACUCUUGGUGCAUCAUGCCUACUGCUGAGCACUUGUGAGAUAAAACAGACAGCAAGAACUGUUUUACAUCAUCAGCUGACAAAUUCAUAUUCAACUGCAUGUAUACUUUCAUUUAAAACACAUUUCUAGCCCAUAUUGUCGUGAACAUGCCUUUGAAAAUGUGAACUGAUGAAUUUUCAACUAAACCUAGCAACAGCUUUUAAAAGUGCAAACUGCCCCCCAUUAAUCUCAGCAGGGUGUUGAUUUUUCAACUAAUGAUGAUGCUUUGAAUAUGUCUACACUUUGAGAUUUGGGGUGUGAUUCCUAGCUUGAAGAGACAUACAUUAGCUCUGAUGAAACUAAGGCUUGGUCUAUGCUAGCAACUUUUGUCGGUAUAACUAUGUCACCUGGGAUGUGGAAAACCACAUCCUUGAGCGGUGACAUAGUUCUACUGACCUGUAGACAGUGUUACGCCAGUGGGAGGUGGAUUACCUAUGCCAAUGGGAGAAUCCCUCUCAUUGGCUUAGGCAGCAUCUUCGCUGAAAUGCUACAGCAGCAGCUGCGCCACUGCAGCCUUGUAAGUGUAGAUAGGCCCUUAAAAUCAAGUGUAGCUGCAGCCUGGCAAGUGAUGGGAAGAGCUAGCAUGGGUGGAAAUCAUGCCCUCAGCUCAGUGAAGACAAAACUGCAGUGGGACAGACUUUCAGAUAAUGUUGAUGCACAAUUGUGUGCUUAAUCUGCACAUGGAGUUACUGCAGUUAUGUGAUCAAAUCAAGUAAUGGCAUGUAUAAAUGGUCAAAUAAGCAAACAUCAGAAAUGCUGCUUGUCCUGAAGAUCUACACUGCCAUUUCUCACUGAAUGAUGCAGAAUGCAAAGGUGACACUAACUAAAAGUUUAGCUACUGCAUGAGGGCCAUAUUCUCUGCUCACUUUUUGUGGGAGACUUUCUGUGGAUAUGGAGGAGCAUAUCUCCCUAAACUUGUAACCACGGUUUAUGCAUCAUAAUGUGAAAUAUAAUUUACCCCCUCUUUCUAGAAUAAGUUUGACAUACUCCAUGUAAAUGAAGACAGAAUUUGCCUUAAGUUUGUGAGAUGUUUGACAACUUAACAAGUCCCAUUUAUUAGACAGUGAACCCCAAACCCAAGGCCAGAUCAUUUUGUAGAAUAAAAAAGGCCAUAGAGUAGAGAAAGGGAAGUAAUUUAAGAUGGAAUGGUUGAAAAAUCUGUGCAACAGCAGGGCUGGUGCUUGGUGGCAUCAUGCCAGGGGGUCAAAGGUACAGAGUGCAGGGAACACAAAUAGGUGCACACACAAAAUAAGAUAUUUAGAAAGGUUGAGGAGCCAAGAGAGAGGCAUGAACUGUUGAAUUUUGUAUUUGGAAAUGUGCAGAAUGGUGCACUUAAAAAUCCACCUGUUUAGUUAUCAGUAACUAAUGGAGAAAUCCAUACACAACAGGGUUUUUUGACCAUUUGGAGAUGGUCCGGCAGCUUCUGAUACCAUUGUUCCCUGUUGCCUUAGAUCUUAUUGUCAGUGGAGCUGGAACAAUAUUUUGCACCAGUGCCUUGCCGUGAUAAUGAUGUGCACUCAACCCUAUUGGAUCCACAGGCUUGCACUGUGCCUUUUCCAUUUCUACUGCUGCAUUCUGUUUUUGUUAUAUUUCCAUGAGGAUGUUUGGUAUGCCUCUUGUACCCUGCAGCUGGGCAAAACCUUCCGUUCCUAUGGCAUGAUCCAGCAGGAGCUCUACAGCCUCUAAGCUGGAGAUUUUUCACCUAACUUUGGCUCUUCCACUGAUUAUUAUUUUUGCAGAGGAAGGGUGAUUUGGGCCUUGAGCACUAUAUCUAGUCAAAGGAAGAUUUGUUUGGCUGAGAACAGGAGCUUUGAUGUCUGCAAUACACAAUCAUUUCAGCAAACUUUACCAACUGUAGGAGGUCAGUGAAGUGAUCACUCAAACGUCUGUGGUAAAAUGUAUACAGAGUAAGUUGCAUUUUUUUUUAAGCAAAAAACUGGAAGAGGAUUGUAACAAUAAUGGUGAAUGCAACCAAAAAUUAUGUACCAUGCACUCAAAUAAAAACAUGUUUUCUUGUUCUCGUGA